GGGGGCGACAUGGCUUCGACGUGGGUAGCAAAACCUUGAGUGCAUGCCGAGCACAGUACAGCUCGUAAAACCUACUGAAAUAAAGUAUUCGCAAACGACGAAAACUACUCAAUGGCUUUGGCUGCAUAAAAACAGCCACCAUUCCUCUGACUACCUGUGCUUAUGCGGGUAGGAUCUUCGGAUCACUCAGGGGUCAUAGCACAUAAGAUCGUGCCGAUGCCUGUCCGGAGCUGACGCACUAAAUCCUAACGGAAUCGCCGACGGUUUUCUUGGCCUGACGGGUAGCCGGCGGUUAAAUCAAAAGAUCAGGAUAAGCAUGUAGAGCUUGUGGCGGAGUGCUUGCGGACGCGGGUUCAAUCCCCGCCGCCUCCACCA
rfam:Methylomicrobium alcaliphilum str. 20Z chromosome, complete genome.